AUCGCCCUAGUAUAACUAAUACAAAUGACUUCCAAUCAUUAUAUCCUGACUCAUCAUCAGGGGGCAAUA
rnacentral:tRNA from 1 species